rnacentral:lncRNA from 10 species
UGCGAUCUUGGCUCACUGCAACAUCCGCCUCCCAGGUUCAAGCGAUUCUUCUGUCUCAGCCUCCUGAGUAGCUGGGAUUACAGAUGCCUGCUACUAUGCCUGGCUAAUUUUUGCUAUCAGGACACAGUUAGAGGCACUGGUUAUUUUACCAAGGCUUUGACUGGAAUGGCAUAUUUUCAGACAUGAACAGACUGCUUUAAGGAAUUCACAUUGACUUUAUUGAGCUGCUAAGACAUCCCUUGGACAGACUGGCCUGGUAAUUUUUCUAUGCAGUUCCUUUACAAGGUUCCUGAGCUGUGGUGAGAAUGCAACAUUCUGACAGGCCCAUGCACCUCAAGUUAUUUUGAGACCUCAAGAAAAGAGAAAUUCAUCCAAUUUGUACAGGUAUUGAAGACAGUAUGGUGGCAAAUCCUUGGCUUGGCUUUCCACCCUCAAGGCUUUUAAAAAUGUAAUCUGUCAGAUUGCCACUGCAGUCCAAAGAUGCUCCAGAGACUCCAGAAAGACUAUUCUAUAGACUACUCCAGUCAUUAACCUUAAUUUUUCUUCUGUAUCCAUAGAAAUGCCUCUUAUUAAAGAUCUGUUUUCCUGCAUCAUACAUAGAGGCCUAGCCCAUCCGUUAUGCCACCUCCUGGAAUGGGACACAGCUGUUUAAUUGAGCUGAUCUAUCCUCAGAACUAAGAGACUGACUAAAGAAGAUAUGGAAUUCUAUAUUUAACUUUGCUCUUUUCUGCUUAUCCCAAUUGUUUUUUCCACUUUUCUUCUAUAUCUAACAACCUCUAACCAAAGUCUCUCCAAAGCAAUCAGCUUGGCCUUUAAAAUGUGAAAUUUUAAAGUUUCAAAGUGGGGACUAAAGGAUAUCAAAAUAUUUUAUCCCCCAAAAUAUAUUUCUUUGACAUAUUUUGAGAUGGCUGUCAGAGAGCUAGCAUACAGAAGUAGCCCUGCAAAGUUAUAUCUUGUGGGGGAAAUUUGCAUCUGUAGAAAAUCUGCAUUGAUGAAGCCAGGCCUUCCCUUGUCUAGAUCUGGGAAAGAUUAACUGAGAGUCUGAAACACCUUUAAAGGUCUGAAAGAAACAUUUGCCAUCUAUUCUCUAACAGGACUGCUACCUGUGAAGUUUCAACUAUGUAAUGAGAACACCUUUGCUAGCCAAGCCUCCUCUUUUCUCCCUUUGGUAAUCUGUUUUGCCACAGCCGAAGCCCUCAUUCUUUUUGUAACCUCAAGAUGGCAUUUAAGCUUCUGCAUUCCAUUGCGGGGUUGGGUAAUCACUCAGUAAUGUUCCCCAUGUGUAUGCUAAUAAAAUGUGUAUGCUUUUUCUCCAAUUAAUCUGC